UAAAACACGGCCAAAGGGAAAAGACAGAAUUUUCCUAAUAAUGAGAAACAAAAUUAAUGUGCUGAAGAAUCUCAUAUAGAACAACAAGAGUGUAGGCAAUGAAGCAAAAAGGGAGAGCAGCUACAGCAGAAAAAGAAAAUACUGUAGCGUACAUCAUCUGAGGCUGGAGUAUAAGGAAGAAAACAGAUAUCCAGCCCAGCACCAUGGACCGGGACACCUGACUUACUAAUCUUCUGUGACUUUUGGGAGAGCAACAUGUGCUCGUGGGGCCACGACAGCUGAUUACUCCUGUUAUCAGGAUGAUCUUUAUUCUCAGAAACUUCUCCAUGGAAUCACAGAAUCGUAGAAUGGCUUAUGUUGGAAUAAACCUCAAAGCCCAUUUAUUUCCAGCUCCGUGCCACGGGCAGUAUUUCCACCCACCAGAUCAUGGCGCCCAGGAACCCAUCCAACUUGCCUUCGAGUACCUCCAGGGAUGGGGCACCCAUAGCCUCUCUGGGCAGCCUGCACCAGUGCCUCACCAUCCUCUGAGUAAAGAAUAUCUGCCAAACAUCUAAUCACAUACUCAAAUUUAUGGUUUUCUUCCUGCCUUGAGUGGGCACGUCUGUUGUAUUCUCUCAUGGUGCUGGC
ensembl:lncRNA